GUUUAUUUUACCUUGUUGCUUCGGCGGGCCCGCCUUAACUGGCCGCCGGGGGGCUUACGCCCCCGGGCCCGCGCCCGCCGAAGACACCCUCGAACUCUGUCUGAAGAUUGUAGUCUGAGUGAAAAUAUAAAUUAUUUAAAACUUUCAACAACGGAUCUCUUGGUUCCGGCAUCGAUGAAGAACGCAGCGAAAUGCGAUACGUAAUGUGAAUUGCAAAUUCAGUGAAUCAUCGAGUCUUUGAACGCACAUUGCGCCCCCUGGUAUUCCGGGGGGCAUGCCUGUCCGAGCGUCAUUUCUGCCCUCAAGCACGGCUUGUGUGUUGGGCCCCGUCCUCCGAUCCCGGGGGACGGGCCCGAAAGGCAGCGGCGGCACCGCGUCCGGUCCUCGAGCGUAUGGGGCUUUGUCACCCGCUCUGUAAGCCCGGCCGGCGCUUGCCGAUCAACCCAAAUUUUUAUCCAGGUUGACCUCGGAUCAGGUAGGGAUACCCGCUGAACUUAAGCAUAUCAAUA
rnacentral:rRNA from 1 species